AAAGCGACAACAAUAAUCGAUUUUUGAGCGCUAUUGCUCAACUUGAACCAGUCAGUAUUGUAAAUAGCGUCGUUCAGAUCUGCAAACUUCAAAUUAAUUAUUAAUAAUAAUUAAAAAUUUCAAAAAAGGGUGGAAUUAUAAAUUGCAACUAACUUGAAGCGUCACCUGAUGCGCCGACAUGCAGACCAAAAAUAUUUGGAGCACCGUGGUGAUUAUGUAAACAAUACAGCUUAUAAAUUCGAAGAAACGUAGAGCAUCAUUCCGGGGAACAAAGUGUCAAAGCCGACGUCGACGUAGCAUCCUAUGAAGAAUGUUACCAUCUGUUGACUCGCGGUCAUUAAGUAAACGCUUGGCUGGGAAUAGUUAAAAGGCAACCACCCUCUGUAAGGCAGCACAUCAGAGAACGCCAACUAUUUUUCCGCAAGCAGCGACCAUCGCUAACAUCAUUGAUAAAUUGCUGGUGAAUUCAUUGACAGUGGAGCUCACUAAAACUAGGUCUAGAAAUUCGGACGCUUAUUGGAGAAGAUUAUAAAUGGAGUACGACAAUUUAAUCACCUGUAAAACAUUUUCUUUUGUAAAAAGCAAGGGUGAAACUGAAGAAAAAUGUUAUUUUAAAAUUGGCUUACUUGUUCAAAUGUCUCGAGCGAUAAAUUAACAAAAUAUCCCAGUGAAAAUACAACAGGCUUCAAUGUUUGUAAAAUAAUGAAGACAAGUGAUUUUUUUGUUCUUGCGUUUAAGUUUGUCCAAUCGGUACUGUACGCUGAGAAAUUUAGAUCUUCAAACUGGCUGUUGGAAUAGUAACAUGGGGAAACCACAGAGAAAACCCAUGCCAGUACAGAGGCUGGCAAUGUAUCGCACAUAUUCUUUUAAUUUAUAUUCACUGAAAAAUAUUGGUGCGUGCCGGAUUCGAACCCUGGUCCCACCUUUUCGAAAUGUAGGUAACGAGCCGAUUAAGCUAUUGCCAGCCUGAUUAAAAUAUAUUUAAAAAGAAGAAUUCAAAAA